AAUGACAGACCGGAGAGCUACAGGGCCACCCAUUGAAAAAAUUGUACAUGUAUAUUUAUUGCGCAGAAAAACGUGCGCUAGUUUUGGACUGAUUUACCUUAUUUAUACGCAAAUUCUGUGAAAACAAUUAGUACCAUUAAAUUCUUCAUGCAAUUUACUACUGAUAUCGCCUCUUUAUUUGCCUCAGACUUUCUCCGAAACACGCUACCGACCUCGGAAAAUCAAGUAUGUUGAAUUUACAUCGAGAUCGACAGUCGCCAUUUUUACAUGUAAACAAAGUGGACCACAUGAAUUUACGGGACUGGUGAUGGUGUUUAAAAGACUAUCCGAGGCAAGUGAAGAAAGGAUAUCAGUAGUAAAUUGCAUGAAGAAUUUAAAAUUAAAAGCGGUGGGAGUCCUAAGCUUAAAGCAGACUCUUGUUACCACAUGGCUUUUACCUGUUGAUUCUUGUGGUUUCAGCUCUUGAGGUUAACCUGUCACCUCUACCCACAUGCAUAUUCCUUGUGUUCUACAGACUAUCUACCGGUAAUUCAAAUUAAAUCGGAUAAUGCAUGAACAAUAAUGGAACUUUAAGAAAGCAUCAUGUCCUAUUGUGGUUUGUUCAUGUUUGAUAAGAAAUUAUGAAAAACAAAAUUAAGGCUGUUUAAAGAAAUAUAAUUGUUGUGAAAAUUUGUUUUUCAAUAAAAGUAUGCAAUUAUG